rnacentral:lncRNA from 1 species
AUGGCUGACUUCCCUCCCCAUACGGGCACUUUAGGGGCUGGCCGCCAUUUUGUGAGGUUCCUGGAAGGCAGACAUCUCGCGGACACGUCAGGGUUGAGGAAGGUGAGCCUUGCACCGUGGGGGUACCACCACAGCCCAGAGGGGAGCACAAGUGCUUGCUGGAGGAGGAGCCCAUUUUCCAUCGUGAAUCCUGCCCCGGACAGGGCUGCGAGGCUGAGCCCCUGCUCUGGUUCCAGUCAGUGCUCUAAGGGAGCUGAAGGACCUACCUCAACCUGGGUCAUCAGAGGAAGGCUUGGGUCUGUGAGGGCUCCUGGUGAGAGCAGUAGUCUCUUCCCUUAAAGACCUUGGACCCGGAGAUCCCAGGGAAGCUCCUCAACUAGCCAUUCAUCAAGGCCUGUGAGUCUUCAUCUCUGUGACCUGCACUGUGUCCUGCCUG